rnacentral:tRNA from 1 species
UAUGGCAGAAUAGUGCAAUGGAUUUAAACCCCAUAUAUAAGAAUAAAAUUUUUAUUAAAA